rnacentral:rRNA from 1 species
AGACCCGAAACCCGGUGAUCUAGCCAUGGGCAGGUUGAAGGUUGGGUAACACUAACUGGAGGACCGAACCGACUAAUGUUGAAAAAUUAGCGGAUGACCUGUGGCUGGGGGUGAAAGGCCAAUCAAACCGGGAGAUAGCUGGUUCUCCCCGAAAGCUAUUUAGGUAGCGCCUCGUGAAUUCAUCUCCGGGGGUAGAGCACUGUUUCGGCUAGGGGGCCAUCCCGGCUUACCAACCCGAUGCAAACUGCGAAUACCGGAGAAUGUUAUCACGGGAGACACACGGCGGGUGCUAACGUCCGUCGUGAAGAGGGAAACAACCCAGACCGCCAGCUAAGGUCCCAAAGUCAUGGUUAAGUGGGAAACGAUGUGGGAAGGCCCAGACAGCCAGGAUGUUGGCUUAGAAGCAGCCAUCAUUUAAAGAAAGCGUAAUAGCUCACUGGUCGAGUCGGCCUGCGCGGAAGAUGUAACGGGGCUAAACCAUGCACCGAAGCUGCGGCAGCGACACUCAGGUGUUGUUGGGUAGGGGAGCGUUCUGUAAGCCUGCGAAGGUGGCCUGUGAGGGUUGCUGGAGGUAUCAGAAGUGCGAAUGCUGACAUAAGUAACGAUAAAGCGGGUGAAAAGCCCGCUCGCCGGAAGACCAAGGGUUCCUGUCCAACGUUAAUCGGGGCAGGGUGAGUCGACCCCUAAGGCGAGGCCGAAAGGCGUAGUCGAUGGGAAACGGGUUAAUAUUCCCGUACUUGGUGUUACUGCGAAGGGGGGACGGAGAAGGCUAUGUUGGCCGGGCGACGGUUGUCCCGGUUUAAGCGUGUAGGUGUGUGUUCCAGGUAAAUCCGGUUCACUUUAACACUGAGGCGUGACGACGAGGCACUACGGUGCUGAAGCAACAAAUGCCCUGCUUCCAGGAAAAGCCUCUAAGCAUCAGGUAACAUCAAAUCGUACCCCAAACCGACACAGGUGGUCAGGUAGAGAAUACCAAGGCGCUUGAGAGAACUCGGGUGAAGGAACUAGGCAAAAUGGUGCCGUAACUUCGGGAGAAGGCACGCUGACACGUAGGUGAAGUGAUUUACUCACGGAGCUGAAGUCAGUCGAAGAUACCAGCUGGCUGCAACUGUUUAUUAAAAACACAGCACUGUGCAAACACGAAAGUGGACGUAUACGGUGUGACGCCUGCCCGGUGCCGGAAGGUUAAUUGAUGGGGUCAGCGCAAGCGAAGCUCCUGAUCGAAGCCCCGGUAAACGGCGGCCGUAACUAUAACGGUCCUAAGGUAGCGAAAUUCCUUGUCGGGUAAGUUCCGACCUGCACGAAUGGCGUAAUGAUGGCCAGGCUGUCUCCACCCGAGACUCAGUGAAAUUGAACUCGCUGUGAAGAUGCAGUGUACCCGCGGCAAGACGGAAAGACCCCGUGAACCUUUACUAUAGCUUGACACUGAACAUUGAGCCUUGAUGUGUAGGAUAGGUGGGAGGCUUUGAAGUGUGGACGCCAGUCUGCAUGGAGCCGACCUUGAAAUACCACCCUUUAAUGUUUGAUGUUCUAACGUGGACCCGUGAUCCGGGUUGCGGACAGUGUCUGGUGGGUAGUUUGACUGGGGCGGUCUCCUCCUAAAGAGUAACGGAGGAGCACGAAGGUUGGCUAAUCCUGGUCGGACAUCAGGAGGUUAGUGCAAUGGCAUAAGCCAGCUUGACUGCGAGCGUGACGGCGCGAGCAGGUGCGAAAGCAGGUCAUAGUGAUCCGGUGGUUCUGAAUGGAAGGGCCAUCGCUCAACGGAUAAAAGGUACUCCGGGGAUAACAGGCUGAUACCGCCCAAGAGUUCAUAUCGACGGCGGUGUUUGGCACCUCGAUGUCGGCUCAUCACAUCCUGGGGCUGAAGUAGGUCCCAAGGGUAUGGCUGUUCGCCAUUUAAAGUGGUACGCGAGCUGGGUUUAGAACGUCGUGAGACAGUUCGGUCCCUAUCUGCCGUGGGCGCUGGAGAACUGAGGGGGGCUGCUCCUAGUACGAGAGGACCGGAGUGGACGCAUCACUGGUGUUCGGGUUGUCAUGCCAAUGGCACUGCCCGGUAGCUAAAUGCGGAAGAGAUAAGUGCUGAAAGCAUCUAAGCACGAAACUUGCCCCGAG